ensembl:snoRNA small nucleolar RNA, H/ACA box 61
UCCCUCCAGUUCCCUUUCCCAUUGGAUCUGAAUACCGAUCUUGUGGUCGAAAAAGGAGGAAGAGUGAAAAUUCACCCUGGUCUAGGGCUCUCUGCGGGUGUGUCCUGUCCUGAGAGGGGCCAGUGGGAAGACAGGC